rnacentral:lncRNA from 1 species
UUCUAAGUCUAUAUCACAAAAAUAGCACUCAAAAACUAAAAUGACCAAAAUAGCACUUUUUUAAGUUUAUCCUUUGAAAAUUUUAAUUUUUUAAUUUUUUAAAAUUUGAAAUCUUAUCCCCAAAAUCUCAUUUCUCGACUCUAAACCCUAAACCCUAAACUCUAAACCCUAAACUCUAAACCCUAAACCAUAAACCCUAAACUCUAAACCCUAAACCCUAAACUCUAAACCCUAAACCCUAAACCCUAAAUCAUAAACUCCACCCUUUAACUCUAAACCCUAAGUUUGUGACUUUUGAUAAAAUAUU